GUUUCGGUAGGGUAAGGGAUAAGACCGUGUGCUCGGAAAGCACAAGAACGGGUUCGAAUCCCGUUCUAGACU
rnacentral:tRNA from 1 species